CUCCGGUUGAUCCUGCCGGACCCGACUGCUAUCAGAGUGGGACUAAGCCAUGCGAGUCGACGUAGCAAUGCGUGGCGAACGGCUCAGUAACGCGUAGUCAACAUGCCCAGGGGACGUGGAUAACCUCGGGAAACUGAGAAUAAACCACGAUAGGUCACGAUUUCUGGAAUGGAUCAUGGCCUAAAUCUACAUGGCCCCUGGAUUGGACUGCGGCCGAUCAGGCUGUUGGUGAGGUAAUGGCCCACCAAACCUAUAACCGGUACGGGCUCUGAGAGGAGAAGCCCGGAGAUGGGCACUGAGACAAGGGCCCAGGCCCUAUGGGGCGCAGCAGGCGCGAAACCUCUGCAAUAGGCGAAAGCCUGACAGGGUUACUCUGAGUGAUUUCCGCUAAGGGGAUCUUUUGGCACCUCUAAAAAUGGUGCAGAAUAAGGGGUGGGCAAGUCUGGUGUCAGCCGCCGCGGUAAUACCAGCACCCCGAGUGGUCGGGACGAUUAUUGGGCCUAAAGCAUCCGUAGCCGGUUCUGCAAGUCUUCCGUUAAAUCCAGCCGCUCAACGGAUGGGCCGCGGAGGAUACUACAGGACUAGGAGGCGGGAGAGGCAAGCGGUACUCAGUGGGUAGGGGUAAAAUCCUUUGAUCCAUUGAAGACCACCAGUGGCGAAGGCGGCUUGCCAGAACGCGCUCGACGGUGAGGGAUGAAAGCUGGGGGAGCAAACCGGAUUAGAUACCCGGGUAGCCCCAGCUGUAAACGAUGCAGACUCGGUGAUGGGCUAGCCUUGUGCCAGCCCAGUGCCGCAGGGAAGCCGUUAAGUCUGCCGCCUGGGGAGUACGGUCGCAAGACUGAAACUUAAAGGAAUUGGCGGGGGAGCA
rnacentral:rRNA from 1 species